UGACAGCAAAAUGCGGCAGUGGCCAGCGUAGGGCUGAGAGGCAGGAUUUCUCUGAAGCUUGAGGAUUUUGUUUGCUUAUACGGCAUCUCCCAUAUUGAGACUUUUCAGAAAUACUAUUGAAAAUAAAAGUUUCCUCCCUGCCAUGUGGGAACUCUGGGAAAAGAACCCACCCUCUAUUCUAGGCCUUUGCUUUAUUUCAUUCACUCAGAGGAUGAAGGAGAAAGCAUUUGGUGUCGUAACCAAGGCAUCGUCAUGGCCUGAGAUGGGGCUGUAAUAAAUAAUAUAGUGGCUAGCGUUUACUGAGUGCCUACUGUGUGCCAGGCCCUGCUCUAAACAUCAUAGCAUGAUUUCAUCUCACCUUAACAAAACUCUAUGAAGAAGAGAUGCUCAUUUGCCAAUAAGGAAAUGGGGGCACAGAAAAGAAACACAACCUCAAAUGUCCCACAGCUAGUAGCACUGGAACCAGGACUCCUGCCAUACUGGCCACAUCUGAAAACACAGAAUAAGAACAUCAUUUUCAAAGUUCAGUCUGUCUUCUUUCUGUUUUGAACCAUCCUUCAUGGUGGGCAAAGCAUGUGGCCCCAUUUUCCUACCAGGAUCUCAUAAGCAUCCUUUUGAGGUCAGGAGCAUGUCACAGGGGCCCAAGUCUCCAGGGGGUAUAGGUCCAGGCCUUGGGUGCACUCACUCCUAAUCUCUCGCAUUGGUUGCUUCUUUCUUAACAUUCAAAAAUAAAGGAAGGAACUUAUUAAAUCUGCACAACAGUCCCACGGAGUUCAAGCAUUAGCAUCCCCACAGAGGUCAAGAGAUGCUCUAGGGCUUCCCUCGUGGCGCAGUGGUUGAGAAUCUGCCUGCUAAUGCAGGGGACACGGGUUCGAGCCCUGGUCUGGGAGGAUCCCACAUGCCGCGGAGCAACUAGGCCCGUGAGCCACAACUACUGAGCCUGCGCGUCUGGAGCCUGUGCUCCGCAACAAGAGAGGCCGCGAUAGUGAGAGGCCCCUGCUUGCCACAACUAGAGAAAGCCCUCGCACAGAAACGAAGACCCAACACAGCAAAAAUUAAUUAAUUAAUAAACUACUACCCCAACAUCGUCUUU
rnacentral:lncRNA from 1 species